GUCUGCUGAAGACGAGCCUGGUGCUCGCGCGGGGCCGCGCCUGUUUCAUCAUCGGCUUCCGCCGCCCGCGCGGUCUCUUUCGCUCGCUCCCGCCCGGCUCUGCCUUGGCCAGAUUGCUCGAGUCGCUCGCAAGAGAUAUUGGACGGGGGCGGGCGGGCGGGGGGAGGAUAAGGUUAUUCCUUUGCUGCUUGCUUCAAGAGCCUCCUCCCCUUAAGAUGGCCUUCAAAAACUUUAUUUAUUAUGAUUAUUAUUUUCAAAACACGGCCAAAAAGGACCGCUGCUUCCCUUCCCCUUUUCUGUAUUUUUAACUCCUCUUCCAAGAUUUGGAAUAUUUUUUCAUCUCCUUUACUGCACUUUGCUUUGAGGUUUAAAUACUUCCCCAACCCCUGCUGUUUUCUCUAGUUAUCUGGGGGUUAUUUCUUUUGACCAACCCAUCAGGAUUUGCGUAGUUUGCAAGCUAGGAAAAGGUGAUAUUUUAAAAAUGUUUUUCCUUUUCUGAAUAGAACGCUGGUGCAUUUCUCCUUCCUCCCCCCUUUUUUUCUUUUGGAUUGUUUGGAAUGUAUAAGAUAAACUCCUGUGUGGGGAAGGCUUUGUAGCCAUUCACCUGCACCCCUUUGAAAAGUUAGCCUGAUACAAGUGGAAAUAUUUACAUGUUUUGGUUGCCCCAUGCAUCCUGGCAUUUUCUUCUGCUUCUCAUCCUCCACCCUAAUGGAAACACGGGGCCGGUGCACUAAAAAUGCUACCUCCGGGACAGGUGCCAACUUCAAGGUAAAAGGCAGUAAAAUAGGUGAUAGAAGGAUGGGGGGGCAGACUGAAUCAGGAAUUUUAAAGUCUAUCUGAAAUUAUGAUUUAAUUUUGCCAUCCAAAAUGAGCGAAGGGAAAAGUUGAAAAGAUACUUUUUCUGCAUGCAUUCAAAAGGGGUGAAGAGACUCUUUCUUUCUUUCUUUCUUUCUUUCUUUCUUUCUUUCUUUCUUUCUUUCUUUCUUUCUUUCUUUCUUUCUUUCUUUCCUUGCCUACUGAAUUAUUCAAACUGUCAGUGGUGAAUCCUGGGACAUUAGCAUGCAUCAGGCAUGCUGUUUGUCUGUUUGCUAACAUUCUUCAUUCAAGACUUGUUAACUGCCAGACAAGCUUAACACGCUCCUCUCCUCCUCUCCCCCCUCUCCUUUCUCAUUCUACCUCCCUCCUUCACAGUGUCUUUCCUUCUCUCUCAUGCCACCCUCUCUGCCUCUUCUAUUGUUGUUGCUGGGAGCUGGCAGCUAGGGGGGCAGCGGUGGCAGGGUAAAGCAUGUGGCUGCGAGGCUGGAGCCCUGUGGUUGCUAGGGAAGGACCGCCUUCCCAGAUUUGCCAGGCCUGUAUGCACUUGCAAAAUCAAGAAAUGCCACAGAGAUCGCGGAGUGUCUUCCAUCUGCUUUCACAGGAGACCGCAGAACUGCAAGGUGAACACCCUCUUGUCCUCUCUCUGCUUCUUGUCCUUGUGGCUGGAUUCCUACUCUUCCCCCGCACCCUCAAGAUAUGUCGGCUCCAUUCACUUCCACUCACCGUUCCAAGUUUCUUGCAGCAAGGCCAAUCUACAUUUGUUAGAUUACCUGCAUGGUACUAGGAAGGGCUCCAACCUUGGGAAGAGGAGACAGCUUUCAUCUUCUCUAAACUGGACUUCCAUGGUGCUUACCAGAAGGAAGAGGGAUGCCUGCUAUGCUGAGCACUUGUGUGGACUCAUUACUAUCCACUCCAGCAUUUGAACCCUGCUGGUCAUAUCUCUGGGGCACUUGUGCUACUUUCAUACAAAUUGCAACAAAACAAUAGGAGAAAUGGCAUCAAUCCUUUUUUCAUCACUCCAAAACGGAAAAGGCUGCUCUCACAAGAAAACCACUGCAACCAUCCUUUUGAAAUACAGCAGGAUUCAUUACCUCAGGAAGGGUUUCUUAUCCAUCCCAAAAAUUGGCUCGGUGCUGCUUUCAGAACUCAGACCAUCUGGUAGCCAUCACUGCCUCCUGUUGAGAUCAUGGAAACUACCCCCACUGCCUCCGUCAGCUGCACAUGUCACAUUUCAGCACCAUGCGGUGGUGGGCAUAAAGCCCAUUGGCACUAACACAGCAGAGCAACGGAGGGGCACAGGCUGAACUAAGAAGAAGGACAGUCACUCACCUGGUGCCAGCUUACUUGGAGGAGUUUGUCAAGACGCAUUUGGACAGGAUACCUACCACAGGAUGGGUCCCCACUCCAGGUUGUUGUUGAUGAUGUUCAGGCAAAUACCAUUACCCUUGAUCCCUUCUAAAAUUAACCAAGAUGACGCUAGACUUACUUUUGCAUAUUACAGUGACUGUAAGAGGUUUUAACUUUGGCACUAUAACUCAGAUGAGAUGCAUGCAUGUAUGUAUUUAAUAUCCCUGGUACAAGAAAUUUAAAUAGCAGCCAUGGGAGGGCUGGGGAGGGAGGAUUCACACACACAGAGACACACACACACACACACACACACACACACACACACACCAGUGCUGCUGCUGCCCCCCCCCGGCAGGCUGGAAGCUGCCAUAGCUGCCAUUGGCUGGUGAUUUUUUAAAAAAAUGAAAGGUUGACAGCCCUGUUUAUGGCCAUAUAAUUAUAAAUUUUUAUUAAGCUUCUGCUCCUGGCAGCUGUUAACCAUUGGGGUUGUAUAUCUCUCCUACCUCAAAACUGUCAUUUUUCCUAUUACAUAACAAAAAUAGCUGGCUUGGUGCCUUUUGAGGAGAGACUGUUGAGGGUGUUUAUUACCACUAGUGCCCCCCUCCCAAAGUGCAAGGGCGUUGUUCACUCAGCCCUGAAACUGCUGGGAAUGGAGGUGGGGGAAGAGUAUCAGCUUUCCUACUGUGGAAUAGAUCUGUGGUGGACUCCGCACGCGCCGUUUUGGUUUAUUAAGCAACAUUUUAACCAGUUAAAAUAAAUUUACAAGCACUUAUAAAAAACCAAAAGUAAUUGGUUUUCACCCUUGAGCAAAAAGAUUUCAUAACAGGCACAUUAAGCAUUAAUGUAACCAAACCUUUUUAUUGUUGACAACCACAAGGACAGUCAUGUGUAAGACUAACAGUUUGUAGUUAAUAUUUAUGGUGGAGCUUAUGACUCACCUGUGGAGUAAUUAAGUGCUGCUCUUAAAGACUAAGGUUUGGGGGUUUUUACCAAAAGAAAAGAAAAGAAAAGAAAAAAGCCUUUUCUGCAUACCCAUGUGAAUCUCCUGCAACUUUAGUAAAUUCUUGCUUUAAACACUGAUCUUUCUAAACAGUGUACAUUAUUCUGCUGAAUGGAUAGCAGACAUGUUAAUUAUUGUUGAGUUUAUUCUUCUAAAGGCUGUUGUACGUCUAGGUCAGUCUAGGUAAUACCAGUACAUCAAAACAGCACAUUAAACCCCAAAUUAUCAGAUCAGCUGAGGUCAGCAGGUGAGACAUACACACACACCUGUGAGUGAUAGUACACAUUAUCAAAAAAUGUGAGAGUGGCAACCCCAUGCCAAGACCCAUAUAUCAAACAAUAACAUGUUAACUGACUGUGUGUCCUUGAGACUUUCCGUUUCCUAACCCUACAUCAUUGGCGCCUGCCGGCAGUGGCAGUGAAAUGCUCCGCAUAAAGUUUCUCAGGAUACUAGUAAAUCAUAUUUCAUGAUUUCAUAUUGGGGAAGCCCGUACACUGUCUUGCAAUGUUGUUGGACGCUUUCUACCACCCUGUCCGUGGGCCGGAUGGGAGUUUGACUCCAACAACGUCUGGAGGGCAUCAUAUUGCCUGUCCCAGUGUUUCUAAGCACUGAGAUGGAAUUUGGCAGAGGACUGUUUUUUUUUAAUCUAGUCCAGAGUUUCUGAUAACAUGUAAUUCUGCCUUGCAUAAUGCCACACAAAUGGUUCUCCAUGUUUUCACAGGGUUUGGUUCUUGCAGAUUAGGUCAGGCUGGUGUGUUCUUUAUAGGGAGUCAGGGUGGUGUAGUGGUUAGAGAGUUGAACUAGGACUGGGAAGGCCAAAAGUAUCAAAGCACCAUUUGGCCAUGAAGCUCACUAGGUGACUUUGGGCCACUAGAUGCCAAAACGGGAAGAUAGAGGUAGACAAAAUGGAGCCUUUCAUGUAUGCAUUACUUUUGGCCUGGUAUGGUUCUGGCAUCUCUUUCCGAGGCUGAACAUAAUCUUUAAAGCUUGCUUCUAUAUGAAUUAAUAAAAUAAAUUCAGGGUGACCUGUGUGGGAUGCCAUCUCAGAUGGGGCAUCACAGUGUUCAGAAAAUUAUCAGGCCCCCUGGCUGAUAUAUUAUUAAGAAUGGGCUUUGUGCAGCCUCCAGGAGGUGAACAAUACCCACUGACCAAGCCUGCCCAGGAAUGAAUAAAAGCCUGGCGGUGGUGCCUGGGCAGACCCCAACAGCUCCAUGCCCUGUGCAUAGAAUGCAGGAUAUUAACCAGUGUUAAUCAUACAUGCAUACUUUAAGUUAAAUGUCAGGUUAUAAACGAUAAAGAUGGACUUACUGGAUUGCUAACAACAAUAAAAGCUAAAGUAUGAUUGGUAUAAAUGUGGAAUUUGUAAAAUAUUCCUAAAAGGUUGUAUUGUGUCUAAACUAGUAAUGCACUGAUUAGCAACACCAUUAAUUUUUCCCCCCUCUAGAGAUCUUUUUUGUCUUGCAGGUUACCUUACUAUGAUUCAACUCAGGGAUUGGUUGGACCUCAUCUGCAUCAGAGUGAGACUGCCCUUUGGGGUGAGGUAGUAGGUUGUAUAGUUUUAGGGUUAUACCCUGCCUGUCAGAUAACUAUACAAUCUACUGUCUUUCCUGAAGUGGCUGUGAUAGCAGCACAGGAAUGUUCCAUCACCGUAUCAGGAAACAACAUCUGUUACUGAUGCAUACCGAAUGUAUGCUUAGGGACAGGAGAGCGGAACCUUAAAGUAUUUGAAGCAGCCCAUCCAUUGACGUCGUUGAGCCAAGGACAUGAUUCAAAGGCCUAACACACCAACCAAAUAAUGUCCUCUUACUGAGUUCUGCUGUUAUAAGGGUGGCCUCUGUGUCUAAGUGUACACAUUUUGGCUAACCAAACAGUAUGGUCUUCUUUAAAAUGUUUUGCAAAAAAAUAACUCUUGUGGAAACUUUAGUACAGUAGUUCCAUAGGAAGUUUGCACAGAUCGCAAGAUCCUCCAAAUGUGAAUUUCAUCCCUAUUUGGCCACUAAAGGUUUCCAGUUGAGACAAGAAUAGACCCAUUUGGCAGGUGGCAGUGAAGAAGAGGAGAGGGCCCAUUUGGUUAUGAUCAGAUGGUGGUACAAUGUGGCAGCAGAGGUAAAGUAUGGACCAAGGCCACAUGGCAGGAAAAUCCUACACAAUAGACCUGGAGUGGUGACUCAUGAGUGGAAGCAGAAGGCAUUGCAAGGCUGCUGCUAAUACUGAGGAGGGACUAGGAGGUGGGGAAAGGGCUGGUGGACAUAGGAAGGAGAGGCUAGUGGAAUGAGCACCAUCCUCUCUUUGGCUCUGUUGGAUUCCUUGAACAGCAACCUUGCCUUUCACUCCAAAUACCCUUAUGCAUCACCACAUGGCAAGACUCUCUCUCUUAAUUGUAGAAGCAAAAGCCAAGAAGUAGCUAUGUUCUGUCAACGCCACCCAGUGCUCUGGCAGGGUGAGGUAGUAGGUUGUGUGGUUUCAGGGUAGUGAUUUUGCCCCAAUCAGGAGAUAACUAUACAACCUACUGCCUUCCCUGAGGAGCACCUUUGCAGCUUGCCCAGAAAACCCAUUUCACUUUCAAGUCAACAAUCUAUGCAACAGUCCUCCCAAAGUAUCUUGAGAACUGUAUGAUUAUGCAAGGAAUUCUGUGUUGUCGAACCCCUACCCUCACUUAAAAAUGCAGUUCCCAAGGACAAUAUGACUUUUAAGCCAGUUUCAAUCUAUGAAAUGGGGUAGUAUAAAUUAGAGUAGAUGUUAUGGUCAUCACCAGAGUAAACCCACCGUAUAUGUGAAAAUAGUAUUAUUUAGGAUUUUAACUUUAGAGUUUAUAUAAUUUUAUGCCUGUCAUUUAAUUCAUAUUUUAGAAAAAGAUCUGAUUUAUCUCAUAAGUUCAAUAAAAUGUUUUGGGCUUUAAAAAAA